GGAGAGAUGGCAGAGCGGAUGAUUGCGGCGGUCUUGAAAACCGUUGAACCGAGAGGUUCCGUGGGUUCAAAUCCUACUCUCUCCG
rnacentral:tRNA from 1 species